UCGCGGCCUAUCAGCUUGUUGGUGAGGUAAAGGCUCACCAAGGCGACGACGGGUAGCCGGCCUGAGAGGGUGACCGGCCACACUGGGACUGAGACACGGCCCAGACUCCUACGGGAGGCAGCAGUGGGGAAUAUUGCACAAUGGGCGCAAGCCUGAUGCAGCAACGCCGCGUGGGGGAUGACGGCCUUCGGGUUGUAAACCUCUUUUAGCAGGGAAGAAGCGAAAGUGACGGUACCUGCAGAAAAAGCACCGGCUAACUACGUGCCAGCAGCCGCGGUAAUACGUAGGGUGCAAGCGUUGUCCGGAAUUAUUGGGCGUAAAGAGCUCGUAGGCGGUUGGUCGCGUCUGCUGUGAAAACCCGAGGCUCAACCUCGGGCCUGCAGUGGGUACGGGCCAACUAGAGUGCGGUAGGGGAGAUCGGAAUUCCUGGUGUAGCGGUGGAAUGCGCAGAUAUCAGGAGGAACACCAAUGGCGAAGGCAGAUCUCUGGGCCGUAACUGACGCUGAGGAGCGAAAGCGUGGGGAGCGAACAGGAUUAGAUACCCUGGUAGUCCACGCCGUAAACGGUGGGAACUAGUUGUAGGGGCCAUUCCACGGCUUCUGUGACGAAGCUAACGCAUUAAGUUCCCCGCCUGGGGAGUACGG
rnacentral:rRNA from 1 species